AUUGAACGCUGGCGGCAGGCCUAGCACAUGCAAGUCGAGCGGAUGAAGGGAGCUUGCUCCUGGAUUCAGCGGCGGACGGGUGAGUAAUGCCUAGGAAUCUGCCUGGUAGUGGGGGAUAACGUCCGGAAACGGGCGCUAAUACCGCAUACGUCCUGAGGGAGAAAGUGGGGGAUCUUCGGACCUCACGCUAUCAGAUGAGCCUAGGUCGGAUUAGCUAGUUGGUGGGGUAAAGGCCUACCAAGGCGACGAUCCGUAACUGGUCUGAGAGGAUGAUCAGUCACACUGGAACUGAGACACGGUCCAGACUCCUACGGGAGGCAGCAGUGGGGAAUAUUGGACAAUGGGCGAAAGCCUGAUCCAGCUAUGCCGCGUGUGUGAAGAAGGUCUUCGGAUUGUAAAGCACUUUAAGUUGGGAGGAAGGGCAGUAAGUUAAUACCUUGCUGUUUUGACGUUACCAACAGAAUAAGCACCGGCUAACUUCGUG
rnacentral:rRNA from 1 species